UACAGAGGUCUCAAGCGUUGUUCGGAUUCAUUGGGCGUAAAGGGUGCGCAGGCGGCCAAGUGUGUGAGGCGUGAAAGCCCGGGGCUUAACUCCGGAAUUGCACCUCAAACUACAUGGCUAGAGCAUUGGAGAGGGUAGCGGAAUUCACGGUGUAGCAGUGAAAUGCGUAGAUAUCGUGAGGAACACCAGAGGCGAAGGCGGCUACCUGGACAAUUGCUGACGCUCAGGCACGAAAGCGUGGGGAGCAAAAGGG
rnacentral:rRNA from 1 species